rnacentral:rRNA from 1 species
GACGAACGCUGGCGGCGUGCUUAACACAUGCAAGUCGAACGAUGAAGCUGGAGCUUGCUCCGGUGGAUUAGUGGCGAACGGGUGAGUAACACGUGAGCAAUCUGCCCUUGACUCUGGGAUAACUGCGGGAAACUGUAGCUAAUACCGGAUACUUUCACUGGAAGGCAUCUUCUGGUGAAGAAAGAAUUUCGGUCAAGGAUGAGCUCGCGGCCUAUCAGCUUGUUGGUGAGGUAACGGCUCACCAAGGCGACGACGGGUAGCCGGCCUGAGAGGGUGAGCGGCCACACUGGGACUGAGACACGGCCCAGACUCCUACGGGAGGCAGCAGUGGGGAAUAUUGCACAAUGGGCGCAAGACUGAUGCAGCAACGCCGCGUGAGGGAUGAAGGCCUUCGGGUUGUAAACCUCUUUUAGCAGGGAAGAAGCGAAAGUGACGGUACCUGCAGAAAAAGCACCGGCUAACUACGUGCCAGCCGCCGCUGUAA